GCACGGUGUUGAGCUUAAGCAUACCUGGACGGCCAGGAAGUUAUCAGAGUCCUGCAGGAUACGGUUGCAGACCGUGCUAUCAGCAAGAAGACAGCGCACCACAA